AAGAAGCAAGACUUACAUUAUUAGCUGAACUGAUCCUCUUGCAUGGGUCCACUCAUUUAGAACAAGACACGUUCACCUCUAGAUCUGACCCCGCUGCUACUGAGAAGGUUAUGCUUUGGAAAACAGCAUGUUAAAUUUCAACCAUUACCACUUGUAUGUGUGAAAUAUUCAAGCUGUAAAUGCAUUAGCAACAGCAGACUGUAAAGCCCAAACCAAUUUAGUUAGUCGUCAAACAAUCGACAUAAGCACAUCAGCAAAGAUCAAGACCCUGAAUAGAAGAAACCUGCACUGUUUCUCCGCAAGAGCAUGGAUAUUAAGAUGUUAAUGAAGGACCUGACCUCUGAAGAACACAAAACUGGUUUUCUAUCAGCAGAGAAAUGUAGGAAUGUUUCAUCAGAGGAAGAAAUUGCAUCAUCAGAUGGGCUCUUACAGCCGUUUACAAACAGAACUGCUUGUUUAAAUCUCAGAGCAUACUGCAGAUCCUUUUUCCUGAAGGGGCUUUCUUCUGUAUUAGUCUGAAGCCUUCAAACUUCAAGAAAUGCACUGACUGCUAAAAUAUGUGCCAUGGAAGGUGCUAAUUAGCUCUUUCUGACUCUCAGGAAUACUGUUUCUUCCUCACAGGCAUCCACUUUUUUAGAUGGGAAGCUCCUAGUUCUGUGUACCUUUAUAUAAAAUUUAGCAGCUUAUUGAUAUGAUUUCUACAUCACUAGUAAAACAGCUUAUAUAUCACACAGAAAAGCUGUUAAAUGCUAAUACUGGUUAGUCAUUUUAAGCAUGACAAAUGUUGCUUGUUGUAAAAUCAGUCAUGUGGCAAUAUUCAAGUAUUGCUUUUAAGGCAGUUCUCAAGGUUCAGGAAAAAUUCAUGACCACAACAGAGUCCUGUAAGAAAGGAAAACUGCUUCUCCAAUACACUUGCAAGAUUAUUGACUUUUUCAUUAUUAAAUGAAGCUGUUUUGAGUGCUGGAAGUUGUACCUAUAGAACUCAAAUGGUUUGGAUUUAUCUGAAACAGAAUUUCAUCCCACAUUAAAUCAGCUCACAUUAAAAUUAAAGGUUUAUUUCAGAAAAUUGGAUUAAAAAA